ensembl:lncRNA
CUGUGAAUAGAGGUUGUGUUUCUCUUGAGCUGUUGCUUGCUGUUGGAAGGAGUGAGCUUCCUGAGGUUCCUGCUGUACUGUUUGCUCUCUUGGGAUCCGAAAGGCCCCAAGCUGUUUCAGCACUCACUAGAACACCAAGCGGUGUGCCUUAUAAUCAAGUGGCAAGAAGGCAUUUCAAUUGGUGCAGUUGCCAGAAAGCUCAUAGUGAACAAUAGGAUACAUGGCCAGCUGGGAUUUACUAGACACUUCCAAAACAUCGUUAUUUCCAGUUUGAAAUGCUAUCCACUGUGAAGUCAAAUCCCUGCAGUGAGACUGCUGAGACUUUACUCUCUGCCAGAGUAAAGGCGCUGCCCUGAUCGCAUGUAGUCCAACUGGAGCCAUGUCUGGGAGAGGAAACCGAGCAGAGACAGGGCGGGCUGGAAACUCUGUCCCUGGUCAUUGUGUUCACAGCUGCUAUAAAAAGACUUGAGUCAAUCAUGAAUUUUGUCAGAACAUUCUAAUACAGAUAGAAGGAGAAGGUCACUUUGAAAAUAGCUCCUAUUUAUUUGUCUGUCGUUGCUCAUAAGAAAUUAUGUACGUGCACCAGAUGCUAGAUUGGCUGUGCCCUUUGUUCAUAACACAGGCAAUUAAAACAAAAAAGAAUGCCCAAGUGGUAUAGUUUUAAUAAUCUUGAAGAUUAGCUACUAAUCCCAAACCAGAAUUAAUUUUCCAUCAGAAUGACUUGUAGAUCUGUCGCUAUAAAUCUUGCCUAGUGAAGUCCAUUACCCCAAAGAAUGUUCAUGGACUGCAGGAAAAAGCCAGUAUCAGUGAUGGAAAAAAUAAAGAUAAGACACUGUCUGGAACGUGCUACGUUGGUGACUUGUAGGUGUCAGCACACUAAACAUAGCUCUACUUCUAUUCUUUUCUACAAAGUGAAUAGCUUUGAGAAAGUAAAUAUCCAUCCACCAUCAUUUCUAUUUACUUUCUGUUAGAAUCAUAGAAUCCUUAGAGUUGGAAGGGACCUUUAAAGGUCAUCUAGUCCAACUCCCCUGCAAUGAACAGGGACACCUACAGCUAGACCACGAUGUUCAGUGCCCUGUUCAGUCUGACCUGGAAUGUCUCUAAAUGAACAUGUUUUGUGAUUCCACAAUUCUGAUGAACAAUACUAGGCAGUGGAGCAUGAAUAAUAUUCCUCCUGUUGAGAUGCUAUUCUCAUCCCGUUUUGUGCUUGUAAUAAAUCCUGGCUGGGCACCAGACAUGUACAUCUUGACCACUGGCAUAAAUUAGUGUACAAUUGGUUGACUCAAAAUUGCUUAGAUAUAGGAGAGACCAUUGCUCUUUCUUGUUGAUUUUUAACUGUGAAUGGUAACUUUAUCAACACAGUGUGGAUGACUGUACUCCAAUGCUCCCUCUCAAGAGAGCCCAGCUAAGAGUUGUGUUUUUUUUCUCAGUCACCACAGUUCACCAUCAGUAUUUCUUGCGGAC